UGUCCCUCCCAGGACCCAGUGGCAUGUUGGGAAUCGUUUCACAAAAGACAUACAAUUUUUCACAGAAGACGGCCUGACCUUGCUCCAGAAUCCUGAGAGCGCAGUGGGGCUCACGUCUUUUCUCAUCACUAACAUCUCUGAAACUAGAACGUGCCAGCUCUGGUGGCCUGGGGGCCCUGUAGCUUAAAUCUUAGCCCAGGACUGCAGCAGGCUCCUUCCUGCUCUGAGCCUCCUCAAAGUGACCACCUUCGGAGUCGGCUGCUCUCUGAGCUGAAGCAAUAUUCUCGAGUGUGCACGCUGCUUCCACAACCUGGCCUACGAGACACUGGCUAGAUUGGUACAAGUCCCAGAGAAUGCACUUGACACAUAUGAGAGAGCUCAAGAAUUUAAAUCGUUAUGGGAUACAUUUAACUGGGGUGAGCACUUGAAAGACACAAAUACUCCCUCAACUAACAACAUAACUGCUUUCAAUCAUCAUGGAAUGUUGCAAAGUUUAAGAUUACAGCAUUCAAGUGAGACAAGAUCUGUUCUUACUGGGGAAAAAAAUUGAAAUCUCUGUUCUCUGAAUUUCCUGAUGAUACGAGAAAAGCAAUACCUCAGAAAUGUAGUUCAUCUGCAUUAAGUUCUCCAGGAAAUUUCUCUGUGACAAAGAACACACCGUGCUGAAGAUGUAAACAUCCGUGUGUCAUUUUCCCCAGAAACCAACAGAACAUGACGUGGUCCAACCUGUGAUAUUCCACCUGGACUUCUGGUCCAUAAGGACUUGGUGGCUGGUGCUGGCGAUACUGGCAGAGAUGACUUUCAGCUUCGGGCCCCUCGAUAUGGCCUCAGCUUCCCCAUCCACCUCUCCCAAGGCCACCUCCUGUCCCCCAGCAGUUCGUAUCUGCUCCUCCUCAGCGUGGACAGACAGAGGCUGGGGUAUUAUGCAGCUACAGGAAGAUUCUGAAGGUCGUCGCCAUUCCAGAACUUGCCGUGGGCUUGUUUAAGGUUCUUACUAGGCCUCAAUCUCGGCUUGUCUCCUGCUGCUGUCUGCAGAAAACCCGAGGCACGGGAGCUGCGGGGCAGGGUAAUGAAAUGGGGUGGCCCCCGCGCAGAAGAGGUGGGCCGGCAGCUUGGGUAACAGUAAAUCUUUUAGCCAGCAUCGA